GUUACAGCAGCCGCGGUAAAACGUAGGAGCCAAGCGUUAUCCGAAUUCACUGGGCGUAAAGCGUGUGCAGGCGGCACCAUAAGUUGGAUGUGAAAUCUCCUGGCUCAACUGGGAGAGGCCGUUCAAUACUGUGGAGCUAGAGGGCAACAGAGGGAGGUGGAAUUCCCGGUGUAGUGGUGAAAUGCGUAGAUAUCGGGAGGAACACCAGUGGCGAAAGCGGCCUCCUGGGUUGCAUCUGACGCUCAGACACGAAAGCUAGGGGAGCAAACGGGAUUAGAAACCCCAGUAGUCC
rnacentral:rRNA from 1 species